AGACACAGAGAUGUGACCAAAUCAGAAUGGAGAAAGGAGAAAGAAGAAUAAAGAGGUAGAAAUACAAGGACAGGUGUUGUUUUCUUGGAGACCUGCUCAUUUCUUCCAAACUUUCAGGAAAUCCCGCUCUGAAUCAGCUCUUGGUGACUUUUCUUUCUCGAGUGGAUUUUAUAUUUAUCCACUUACUUACUCGACAAAGUUCUUGUGGAUUAUGAAUAUGGACUCUGGUUGAAAUUUUGGAAUUCAGCUCUCGAUUUUUGUUUAAAUCAGCGUCUUUGGAGCUGAGGCUCCAUUUCAGCAAAACUCUGACUGUUGACUCUCUAGUUUCAUGUUGUCUUCAUCUCUUUCUUUGGGUUAUAUAAAAUAUGUAGAGAGAUAUUGUCAGAAGAAAUUCAGGGCAGUCUUCAGUGAUUGCCAGCUGGAGCUUCAGCUACAGUGAAAGCAGAGUGAAUGAUCUCUGCUACAGAUGUUCAUCUGACACCUGACUGAUGCUACACACACAGCUGGAGCUGAACAUGGUAUCUCACUGCAUCGCCACAUAGAAGAGGAUCCCAGAGCCAAUACUUGUGGCGAGGUCCCCACCGUAACCAUGGCAUCCCAGGUGAAGCAGCCCCAGGGGCGUGGCCUGUCCUCUCUGUUUUCUUGCUGCUUCAAAGGAAACGACCAACCAGAGAUCACCUACUGCCAUGAAACCAGUACCAAUGCGGCUGUACUAGAGCCCACCUUGCCCUUGCCCCCCCUUCAAGAACUGGACUCUAUUUUCACUGAGCUGGUGGAUGAACUGGACCUCACAGAGGAGCACAGAGUUGCCAUGUUUUCUUUGCCAGCAGAGAAAAAAUGGAAGAUUUACUGUAGUAAGAAAAUGGAGGCACAGGAGAAUAAAGGAGCAACCAGAUGGCCAGAGUUUUAUAUUGACCAUCUCAGGUCCUUGGCUGCUAGGAAGAGUCUGCUGGCACUGGAAGAUGAGGAAGAGCACGGGAGGCAUAAGAUCGUAGAUGGUCUGAGAACAGCGCUGAGGACACAGCCAAUGAGGUUUGUGACGCGAUUCAUUGAGUUGGAUGGCCUGUCUUGUAUCCUGAAUUUCCUCACGUCCAUGGACUAUGAGACCACAGAGUCUCAGGUCCACUCCUCACUGAUUGGUUGCAUCAAAGCCCUGAUGAACAAUUCUCAGGGCAGAGCUCAUGUCCUGGGCCACUGUGAGAGCAUUAAUAUCAUCGCGCAAAGUCUCACCACGGAAAACAUCAAAACCAAGGUUGCAGUGUUAGAGAUCCUCGGCGCAGUGUGUUUGGUGCCAGGAGGUCAUAAGAAAGUACUAGAAGCUAUGCUGCACUACCAAAAAUUUGCCUCGGAGAGAACACGCUUUCAGAUCCUGCUGACAGACUUGGAUAGAUCCACAGGCCGCUACAGAGAUGAGGUUAACCUGAAGACUGCCAUCAUGUCCUUCAUCAACGCUGUGCUCAGCCAGGGAGCAGGAGAGACCAGUCUGGAGUUCCGUAUCCAUUUGCGCUAUGAGUUUCUGAUGUUGGGCAUCCAGCCAGUCAUUGACAAACUACGUUCCCAUGAAAAUGCCACCCUGGACAGACAUCUGGACUUCUUUGAGAUGUUGAGGAAUGAAGAUGAGCUUGUGAUUUCCAAACGCUUUGAUGUUGUCCAUGUGGAAACUAAAAGUGCCAGCCAGAUGUUUGAGCUGAUCAGGAAGAAUCUGAACCACACUGAAGCUUACCCUCACCUCCUGUCUGCACUGCAGCACUGUCUCAUGAUGCCCUAUAAGCAGAACAGUACCUCACUUCAGUACUGGGUGUUGUUGGACCGGAUAGUUCAGCAGCUGGUUCUGCAGACGGACAAAGGUGAAAACCCUGAUGUUGCUCCCCUGGACGACUUCAACGUUAAAAAUAUUGUACGCAUGCUCAUCAAGGAGAGCGAGGUCAAACAAUGGAAAGAGCAAGCUGAUAAAAUGAGAAAAGACCAUCAGAACUUACAGCAGCGCUUUGAAAAGAAAGAGAGGGAGUGUGAGGCCAAGAAUAAGGAGAAAGACGAUAUGAUGGCAAUGCUGAGCAAGAUGAAAGACAAACUGGAGCGAGAGAGCAACGACCACAAGCAGGCUAAACUACAAGUGGCAGAACUGUCUGCUCGGCUGCAACAGCUCAGCUCUACCUCCAGCGUUCCAGGAGGACCUCCUGUGACUGCAGUUGGUUUAGUCCCUCCUGGUAUUGUCCCAUCCAUCCCCUCUCCUCCUCCUCCUCCUCCUCCUCCACCACCACCUCCUCCUCCAGGAGGCCUACCAGCCUUUGGCAUGGUACCAUUCGCUCCACCCCCUCCUCCAGGAGCUCCACUAGGAACUGCCCAGAAGAAGAAUAUUCCCCAGCCGUCUAACCCACUCAAGUCAUUCAACUGGAGCAAACUGCCGGAGAGCAAGACAGAAGGAACCAUAUGGAGAGAGAUCGAUGAUCUCCAGGUGUUCAAAGUUCUAGACCUAGAAGAGUUCCAGAGGACCUUCUCAGCCUACCAAAAGCCACAAAAGGAUGCUGAGGGUGAUCAGACGUCUGCCAAGAAAGUCAAGGAGCUGUCAGUAAUCGAUGGCCGCCGAGCACAGAACUGUAACAUUCUGCUCUCACGGCUGAAGCUGACCAAUGAGGAGAUCCGCCAUGCCAUCCUGACCAUGGAUGAACAGGAGGACUUACCUAAAGACAUGCUGGAGCAGCUCCUGAAGUUUGUUCCUGAGAAGAGUGACAUUGAGCUGUUAGAGGAACACAGACAUGAGCUGGAUCGUAUGGCCGUAUCAGAUCGCUUCCUGUAUGACAUGAGCAGAAUCGACCACUAUCAACAGAGACUCCAGGCUCUCCACUUCAAGAAAAAGUUUGCUGAAAGAGUGGCUGAGGUCAAACCUAAAAUCAAAGCUCUGUGUCUUGCGUCCAGGGAGGUGGUACAGAGUGGGACACUGCGUCAACUCCUAGAGGUGGUUCUGGCCUUUGGGAACUACAUGAACAAAGGACAACGAGGAAAUGCCUAUGGAUUUAAAGUGUCUAGUCUCAACAAGAUAGCUGACACCAAGUCAAGCAUAGACAAAAACAUCACUCUGCUCCACUACAUGAUCACUGUACUGGAAAAGAAGUACCCAAAGGUGGCAGCUUUUAGUGAAGAGCUGCAGAAUGUGCCAGAAGCUUCUAAAGUCAAUAUGACAGAGUUGGAAAAGGACAUUGGAAAUCUGAGAUCUGGCCUAAAGAGCAUUGAAGCGGAGCUGCAGUACCAGCGGGCUCAGUCCCCUCACGGUCUGGCUGAUAAGUUUGUCCCUGUUGUCAGUCAGUUCAUCACUGUGGCCUCCUUCAGCUUCUCCGAGGUAGAGGAGUCAUUCACUGAGGCCAAACAAUUGUUUGGAAAGGCGCUGAAACACUUUGGAGAAGACUCAUCCAACCUGCAGCCAGAUGGGUUCUUUGGGAUCUUUGACACUUUCCUCAUAGCUUUCUCAGAGGCCAAACAGGACAACAAGAACAUGGCCAAACGCAAGGAGGAGGAGGAGAGACGGGCACUCAUGGAGGCACAGCUGAAGAGAGACAGGGAGCAGAAGGCGAGGAAAGCCAAAGCAAAUGAAGAGGAGGGCGGUGAGUUUGAUGACUUGGUCUCUGCUCUGCGUUCCGGUGAGGUGUUUGAUAAGGAUCUGUCCAAAAUGAGCCGCAGAAAACAGCAGAGACACAGCACGUUUGACAGCAGCCGGGAGAGACCAGCACCAAAACUAAACCAGUAACAGCAGACUUAAUGGACAGCAACACCUCACUGGGACUGUUAAAGGCCUGCUCAAACACGGGAAUGUCUCUGUAACACUGUGAUGUAUGGCUGGUGUUCGACGCAGCGGUCUCCUGGACCUUCAUCCAUCUAGCUGUGUCUGUAUAGAGAAUGGGGCUUCUUUGGUGAAAACACCCCACUCACACGCUCAAUGAUCUGGGACUGUUUCCAUACGAACAUGGUACUUCUAUUCCAAAACCUCGGAGGAUCAGGAUGCUUCCUCCUGAGGAGUGAAUUUUUGCACAAAUCUGUCCAAAAUAUUAUGUUUUGUGGUGUGAGAGAGUUUGUCAGCUCUGUGGGAUUUGGAUUUACUGUUAAUAAAACCUCUAAUGCUUCUUCUGUCUGUUCAACCAUGAAUGCCCCCAAUGUCAAGCUCAAUAAAAGUCACUUAAAUGUCUGAUGUAAGUAAAAGUGGGAAUAACAAUAUGUCAAAUGGUGUGUUUUUAUUUG